rnacentral:rRNA from 1 species
UCGACCUCAGCCACGUAAGAUUACCCGCUGAACUUAAGCAUAUCAAUAAGCGGAGGAAAAGACAACCAACC